UACGGAGGGUGCGAGCGUUGUCCGGAAUCACUGGGCGUAAAGGGCGCGUAGGCGGCGCGGGAAGUCAUCGGUGAAAGUUCAGGGCUCAACUCUGAAUCGGCCGGUGAUACUCUCGUGCUCGAGCACUGUAGAGGCAGGUGGAAUUCCGGGUGUAGCGGUGGAAUGCGUAGAGAUCCGGAAGAACACCGAUGGCGAAGGCGGCCUGCUGGGCAGUAGCUGACGCUGAUGCGCGACAGCGUGGGGAGCAAACAGG
rnacentral:rRNA from 1 species